UACAGAGGGUGCGAGCGUUAAUCGGAAUUACUGGGCGUAAAGCGCACGUAGUCGGCUUUGCAAGUCGGUUGUGAAAUCCCCGGGCUCAACCUGGGAACUGCAUUUGUGACUGCACGGCUAGAGUGCGGCAGAGGGAGAUGGAAUUCCGCGUGUAGCAGUGAAAUGCGUAGAUAUGCGGAGGAACACCGAUGGCGAAGGCAAUCUCCUGGGCCUGCACUGACGCUCAUGCACGAAAGCGUGGGGAGCAAACAGG
rnacentral:rRNA from 1 species